UAGGGAAUCUUCGGCAAUGGACGAAAGUCUGACCGAGCAACGCCGCGUGAGUGAAGAAGGUUUUCGGAUCGUAAAACUCUGUUGGUAGAGAAGAACGUUGGUGAGAGUGGAAAGCUCAUCAAGUGACGGUAACUACCCAGAAAGGGACGGCUAAAUACGCGCCAG
rnacentral:rRNA from 1 species